AUAUUUAAAUGCCAGCAUGUGACAUUUAUUAAGAGUUGAAAAAAAAUCUCAAGAGCUAUAACACCUUAAAAAAUACUCUAAUGAUUUUUUUUUUUUGAAAUUUGAAGCAAAGUGAAGUUAUUUACUGAGUUGUUCAUGGUAAUUAAGAAGCAAUUUAUCUGUUGUAAGCUAUAUUUAUGUAUUUUUCCAAUGAAGAAAGCAUGCGAAUUAUGAAAUUCAAAUGAUUAACAUCAUAUAUAGAUUUAAAAGCAAAUCUGAAUAGAAAUUAUUUCUGUCCUUGGAUGACAAUUUUUCACUUUAAAGUUGGUUAUUGUACUACUAAAGGAAUCCACCUAUAUAAAAUCAAAGUUGGAACAAGUUACAGUUUUAAUCUGAAAAGUUUCUUAAUUUUUAAAAGGCAAAGUCACACUGUGUUCCAUUAUGGUGUUAAUAAAUUGCUUUUUAAAAAGAAUUACAUUUAGAAAAAUGUGCCUGUCCACACCUUUUAAGAAGCACAGCUAUUAGAAUAGCAAAUGAUUUUUGAAUUACUAUUUAGGACACAUUAGCAGAUUGUGUUCAAAGCUUGACAACACUCUGAUGGAGGACCAUUCAAUUUUAGAUUCGCAACUCACAGUCUCCCACAAAUGUGUCAACUAGAAAUUGCUGAGACACCCUUUCCCUGCCAGUAGGAAGAAAAUCUGGGCUGGACCUUCUGGGCCCCAGAAGGGCAGUACAGGAUGUGGACCUCUAGGUUCCUGGGUUCAAAUCUUCCUAUGGCCACUUCUUAGCUGAGAGAUUGUAAGCCAGUUACUCGGUUUUUCUAUGUCCCAAUUUCUUCAUCAGCAACUGGGGACUAAUGUUCCCUUCUUUUUAAGUUUGUAGGGUGAUUAAAUCAAUUGAUGCGAAGUGUUUAUGAUUGCACUUAGUAGAUCCUCAAGAGAUAGAAGCAAUUACUAUUGUUGAUUUGUAAAUCUCUUUCCAAGGAAUUUGUAUGAAUCAAGGGUUAUUUUGUUGUUUGAUAUCUUCUUAGUACAUUCAGACUCUUCUGUAGAGCAAACACU
rnacentral:lncRNA from 1 species